CCUUGUACACACCGCCCGUCACACCAUGGGAGUGGGUUGCACCAGAAGUAGCUAGUCUAACCUUCGGGGGGACGGUUACCACGGUGUGAUUCAUGACUGGGGUG
rnacentral:rRNA from 1 species